AUCUUCAGGGCGAGGUGAAAGUCCUCACUGGCGGUAACGCAAGGUAAUUCCAAUUCCCUAGCAAAGGGCGGUUAUCAAUGUGAAGCCCGCGACCCCGAUAUGUUGUUUUGUAAACGCAGUGCUUGUAAGUGAUGCGAAAACAAAAGAAUUGAUCGGGCUGAUUCGGUGAAAAUCCGAGGCCAACGGUUAUAGUCCGGAUGGAAGAAGAUG
rnacentral:ncRNA from 1 species